UACUGCAAGUCGAACGAGCUUCCGUUGAAUGACGUGCUUGCACUGAUUUCAACAAUGAAGCGAGUGGCGAACUGGUGAGUAACACGUGGGAAAUCUGCCCAGAAGCAGGGGAUAACACUUGGAAACAGGUGCUAAUACCGUAUAACAACAAAAUCCGCAUGGAUUUUGUUUGAAAGGUGGCUUCGGCUAUCACUUCUGGAUGAUCCCGCGGCGUAUUAGUUAGUUGGUGAGGUAAAGGCCCACCAAGACGAUGAUACGUAGCCGACCUGAGAGGGUAAUCGGCCACAUUGGGACUGAGACACGGCCCAAACUCCUACGGGAGGCAGCAGUAGGGAAUCUUCCACAAUGGACGAAAGUCUGAUGGAGCAAUGCCGCGUGAGUGAAGAAGGGUUUCGGCUCGUAAAACUCUGUUGUUAAAGAAGAACACCUUUGAGAGUAACUGUUCAAGGGUUGACGGUAUUUAACCAGAAAGCCACGGCUAACUACGUGCCAGCAGCCGCGGUAAUACGUAGGUGGCAAGCGUUGUCCGGAUUUAUUGGGCGUAAAGCGAGCGCAGGCGGUUUUUUAAGUCUGAUGUGAAAGCCUUCGGCUUAACCGGAGAAGUGCAUCGGAAACUGGGAGACUUGAGUGCAGAAGAGGACAGUGGAACUCCAUGUGUAGCGGUGGAAUGCGUAGAUAUAUGGAAGAACACCAGUGGCGAAGGCGGCUGUCUAGUCUGUAACUGACGCUGAGGCUCGAAAGCAUGGGUAGCGAACAGGAUUAGAUACCCUGGUAGUCCAUGCCGUAAACGAUGAGUGCUAAGUGUUGGAGGGUUUCCGCCCUUCAGUGCUGCAGCUAACGCAUUAAGCACUCCGCCUGGGGAGUACGACCGCAAGGUUGAAACUCAAAGGAAUUGACGGGGGCCCGCACAAGCGGUGGAGCAUGUGGUUUAAUUCGAA
rnacentral:rRNA from 2 species